ensembl:lncRNA
CUUAUUUAAAAAAAAAAAAAAAAAGAAAGCAGGUCGCCGCACAUGUUAAGGUAGGUUGAGCAGCUUCGCAUCACACGCCAGUACUUUAACACAAACACCAUGGUUUCUGCCUUCUCUUCUGUCCCAAUGGGGUCGCGGUCACUGCCGGAACGAUUAACGUAUGAAUUCAGGUUAACGACCGGGACCGGCAGGCUGGUAGGGCAGGGUCCCUUCCAAUGGCCCCUCAGAGAGAUCUGCAGCGCAGGAGAGGUGGGAGCUCACAGCAGCUGCUGCAUCUUGUUAGAGGAUCUGUUGGCAUUUUGCUGGGCUGGGCCCAGGCAACAACGCUGGGCAGCAUCAAAAAUGUUCUAAUGCUGUAUUCAGGCCCUGCUAACAUUUACAGUAGUAGGCACGUGAGAUGUUCUUCAGCUUGGAGUGAAUGAAGCGUGUGAAUGCGUCUGCAGCCCGUGGGACCACAGCGGAAGAUGCAGACCAGGGCUUGUCUCAGAGGGUAUGGACUACAAGAAGAUCCCCCAGAAGACACAGAAUGGGAAGCAGCACCCACCACCACCCUUGGGAGCUCCGGUCACCCCGAGCUGGGAGGACAAGGCUAUUGGCAACUUCCAUCUUAUGUGAAAAUAAAGGGCCCAGAGCUUUGAGCCCUCAUGCUUUGCUCCAGAAGUCCACGGAUACCAUGUCACAGAGGACAAGGGCAUCUGGGUAAGCUGGAAGCGGCACGACCUCUCCCUCUCUUUGUCGCAAUUCGGGAAGGAAACGUUUCUGCACAAACGUGAAGAAAUACAGCAGACUUGCCUUAUUUCGGACCACAGGAGGGCGACGUUCAGCUGCAGCUGAAACAAACAGGACUUCCCAAAACAGGUGUGCCGUUUACUGAUGUAAAAAUAAAUGAGAUGAAGCAAAUUAGCUAAUUUUAGAGUGGUUACAGACCGUGGCUAUUGUUUGAUGCAUCGGUCUGCAUCCACUCUGACUUAGCAUUUUGUUGAUUUGCGGUUAAUCGGUAAUUGCCCUAAAUCACUUUGUCAUCCUUGAGCAAAGGUAAUAAAUUAUGGAGGAUAAGGCAUAGUUGUAUGCUAGAUUGUGGCUCUGUUACUUGUUUAGUUACUUUGUCAUUUUGUCAUCCUUAACCGUGUUGCACAGUUAAGUGUUAUAUUGAUGGGGAAGAGGACUGGGGAAGGAUUAUGAUUUUGAAUAGAGAAAUUACCUAUGAGUGCGUGUGUGUUAAGAAAAGUGUUACAAGGAUUGCAGGCAGAGAACACAAACGGUAUGGUAUGAAAACUGCACAAUACUAAUUUUUGGAGAGCAACGUACCAACAAGAGUGUAUUAAUGCAGGUGACUUCCAGUAGUCUUGGUAAUGUAGCAAAUGUAGUCGCAUGAAGGUUUUUGUUCAGCAAGAGCUUGUAGUCUCUGUACAUACUGAUCACAGCCUGGAACCAGGUUAUCAGGAAGGCUGAAUGCUCCAUGAAGGCUCCAUGGAGGAGGAGUUGAGAAUCAAAGUAGGAGAUAAGCCAGGUUUGAAGUGGCUGAGAAGCAAGAUGAGAAGAAUUUGGCACCAAAAGCUGUCUGAUACUUCAGAUAUGCAAAAAAAAAAAAAACAAAAAACAUUUAUUUCCGGGUACAGGUAGUGGAAUUGCCUAGAAAUAGUAAGCAGGAGCAGAGCUGGAACAUAGCACAACAGUCUGUGAAUAUAGGAUAUAGAGCAUCCUACAUACCUCAGGGCAAACGAAGCUGAUGAGAGCACCACACAUAAUGCUGAAGCAUAUCGGAUAUGGAGGGUUGUAGGAUGAUGACAAACACUUUGCUGGAACAGGUUGCCCAAGGAGAUAGCGGAUGCCCCAGUCCUGGAGGUGUUCAAGGCCAGGAUGGAAGGGGGAGCCUGGUCAUCGGUCACCUUGCACGCAGCUUGAACUUAGAUGAUGAUACCCAGGCCAUUCUACGAUUCUAUCACGGAUUCUAUAUAAAGUAGGUAAGAAAAACAGCAUAGAAGAUGCUGUCUGUUAGCAAUUUGCACAGAAGGAUGCUGAUAGCAUAGCAAUGUUGUUAGUAAAAAAAAAAUAAAAAUCGAGAGGGAUAAAUCAGACAAAGGCUUUUACUAAAAGCUGUGUAUCAUACGGGAUAGAUAAAUGAAGAGUGCAGGUAUUGUGCCUGGGCUGCACGGAUCCUAGUAAAUAACAUCGUUAAGAGAUCUUAGGUCAGUUGUUGUGCAGUAUCACGGAGGGAAAAUAACAAUGACUAAGACUGAAAUAGGAGAAAAGACCUGUAAUGCAAUUAAAUUUUCUUAUGAGCAAAUGCCAGUAGUUGGACACACCUUUACUCAAAAAUUAAAAAGGGGAAAAUGUACAUCAAUGAACAGAUGAAUAAAAUUUAUUUCUCUAACAGUGAAUAUGGUUGAAGUAAUAAAAAAAUAUUCAGUGUGUUGAAGAAGAAGAAGAAGAAGAAGAAGAAGAAGAAGAAGAAGAUGAAGAAGAAGAAGAAGAAGAAGAAGAAGAAGAAGAAGAUGAUGAAGAAGAAGAAGAAGAAGAAGAAGAAGAAGAUGAUGAAGAAGAAGAAGAAGAAGAUGAAGAUGAAGAUGAAGAAGAAGAUGAAGAUGAAGAUGAAGAUGAAGAUGAAGAUGAAGAUGAAGAAGAAGAUGAAGAAGAAGAUGAAGAUGAAGAAGAAGAUGAAGAUGAAGAUGAAGAUGAAGAUGAAGAUGAAGAUGAAGAUGAAGAAUGAAGAUGAAGAUGAAGAUGAAGAUGAAGAAGAAGAUGAAGAAGAAGAUGAAGAAGAAGAUGAAGAUGAAGAUGAAGAAGAAGAUGAAGAUGAAGAUGAAGAUGAAGAUGAAGAUGAAGAAGAAGAAGAAGAAGAAGAUGAAGAAGAAGAAGAAGAAGAAGAAGAAGAAGAUGAAGAUGAAGAUGAAGAUGAAGAUGAAGAAGAAGAUGAAGAUGAAGAAGAAGAUGAAGAUGAAGAUGAAGAUGAAGAUGAAGAUGAAGAUGAAGAUGAAGAUGAAGAUGAAGA